UACAGAGGUCUCAAGCGUUGUUCGGAUUCAUUGGGCGUAAAGGGUGUGUAGGUGGCGCGCUAAGUCGGGUGUGAAAAUUUCGGAGCUUAACUCCGAAACUGCAUUCGAUACUGGCGUGCUUGAGGACUGGAGAGGAGACUGGAAUUCAUGGUGUAGCAGUGAAAUGCGUAGAGAUCAUGAGGAAGACCAGUGGCGAAGGCGGGUCUCUGGACAGUUCCUGACACUGAGACACGAAGGCCAGGGGAGCAAACGGG
rnacentral:rRNA from 1 species